rnacentral:rRNA from 1 species
AUUGAACGCUGGCGGCAGGCUUAACACAUGCAAGUCGAGCGGAGUGAUGGUGCUUGCACUAUCAUUUAGCGGCGGACGGGUGAGUAAUGCUUAGGAAUCUGCCAUUUAGUGGGGGACAACAUUCCGAAAGGAAUGCUAAUACCGCAUACGUCCUACGGGAGAAAGCAGGGGAUCUUCGGACCUUGCGCUAAAUGAUGAGCCUAAGUCGGAUUAGCUAGUUGGUGGGGUAAAGGCCUACCAAGGCGACGAUCUGUAGCGGGUCUGAGAGGAUGAUCCGCCACACUGGGACUGAGACACGGCCCAGACUCCUACGGGAGGCAGCAGUGGGGAAUAUUGGACAAUGGGCGGAAGCCUGAUCCAGCCAAGCCGCGUGUGUGAAGAAGGCCUUUUGGUUGUAAAGCACUUUAAGCGAGGAGGAGGCUCUCCUAGUUAAUACCUAGGAAGAGUGGACGUUACUCGCAGAAUAAGCACCGGCUAACUCUGUGCCAGCCGCCGCCGUAAAAC